GGCCUAGGCAAUGCUAAAUUGCAAGUUUGGCUUUGAAAAUGCAAGUUUUCGUAGGCCU
rnacentral:tRNA from 2 species